GUCAUAGUUUUCCGAAAGGAAUUCGUCAGUUCGGCUGGACGGUGCACAGGUGCUGCAUGGCUGUCGUCAGCUCGUGUCGUGAGAUGUUCGGUUAAGUCCGGCAACGAGCGCAACCCUCGUUUCCAGUUGCCAGCGGGUAAUGCCGGGGACUCUGGAAAGACAAACCUCUUGUUGAGGUGGGAAGGUGGGGACGACGUCAAGUCAGUAUGGCCCUUACGACCAGGGCUGCACACGUGCUACAAUGCCCGGUACAAUGGGAUGCAAUAUCGCGAGAUUGAGCCAAUCCAUAAAGCCGGGCCCAGUUCGGAUUGGAGUCUGCAACUCGACUCCAUGAAGUUGGAAUCGCUAGUAAUGGCGUAUCAGCAACGACGCCGUGAAUACGUUCCCGGGCCUUGUACACACCGCCCGUCACAUCAUGAAAGCCGGUUUGCCCGAAGUACAUGAGUCACCGCAAGGAGACAGUGUUUAAGGUGGGGCUGGUAAUUGGGAUGAGUGUACAAGGUAACCAGGGCGAUUCAGCACACUGCGGCCGUAUAGUGAU
rnacentral:rRNA from 1 species